AGCGAACGCUGGCGGCAGGCCUAACACAUGCAAGUCGUGCGCCCCGCAAGGGGAGCGGCGGACGGGUGAGUAACGCGUGGGAAUGUGUCUUCGGGUGGGGAUAACCCUGGGAAACUAGGGCUAAUACCGCAUGAUGUCUGCGGACCAAAGCCGCAAGGCGCCCGAGGAGCAGCCCGCGUCCGAUUAGCUAGUUGGUGGGGUAAAAGCCUACCAAGGCGACGAUCGGUAGCUGGUCUGAGAGGAUGAUCAGCCACACUGGGACUGAGACACGGCCCAGACUCCUACGGGAGGCAGCAGUGGGGAAUAUUGGACAAUGGGCGAAAGCCUGAUCCAGCCAUGCCGCGUGGGUGAAGAAGGCCCUAGGGUUGUAAAGCCCCUUUCGGCGGGGACGAUGAUGACGGUACCCGCAGAAGAAGCCCCGGCUAACUUCGUGCCAGCAGCCGC
rnacentral:rRNA from 1 species